rnacentral:rRNA from 1 species
GAUGAACGCUGGCGGCGUGCCUAAUACAUGCAAGUCGAGCGAACGGACGAGAAGCUUGCUUCUCUGAUGUUAGCGGCGGACGGGUGAGUAAAACGUGGAUAACCUACCUAUAAGACUGGGAUAACUUCGGGAAACCGGAGCUAAUACCGGGUAAUAUUUUGAACCGCAUGGUUCAAAAGUGAAAGACGGUCUUGCUGUCACUUAUAGAUGGAUCCGCGCUGCAUUAGCUAGUUGGUAAGGUAACGGCUUACCAAGGCAACGAUGCAUAGCCGACCUGAGAGGGUGAUCGGCCACACUGGAACUGAGACACGGUCCAGACUCCUACGGGAGGCAGCAGUAGGGAAUCUUCCGCAAUGGGCGAAAGCCUGACGGAGCAACGCCGCGUGAGUGAUGAAGGUCUUCGGAUCGUAAAACUCUGUUAUUAUGGAAGAACAUAUGUGUAAGUAACUGUGCACAUCUUGACGGUACCUAAUCAGAAAGCCACGGCUAACUACGUG